AACGCACAUUGCGCCCUCUGGUAUUCCGGGGGGCAUGCCUGUUCGAGCGUCAUUAUGACCAAUCACGCGAGUGGUAUUGGGGCUUGCCGUCGGCAUCCCUUAAAACUAGUGGCAGUGCUAUAGGCUCUCAGCGCAGUAAUUAUUUCGCUCUUGAGUCCUAGACACACCCGCCAAAACCCCAACUUUCUUAGGUUGACCUCGGAUCAGGUAGGGAUACCCGCUGAACUUAA
rnacentral:misc_RNA from 1 species